AGAGGAAGACCAGAUAGGCCUUGUGACUUUAGUACUGACUGAUGUUUUCUGGCAUCUUUUCUGAGUUAUCUCACAGAAAGGGCAGGAGUUUUAGUUACAGAAACAAAGCCGGAGGUCUGGAGUGUCGCUGGGAUGAGACCAGGAGAGACAAAAAUGCAGUACGAGCUGCAGGCCGGUCGUGAACUUCCUGUGCUCUUUCACUCAGCCUUUUGCCUUUGCUGUUCACGGCUCUCCUGUGGUUUUGUCCAAGGUCUAAGCUCUGCUGACACAGCAGCAUUCAUACCACACUCCUGCUCGAUUCAGUAAUGACAAAAUGGCUGGUAUCAGGAAUGUAUGACUGACUUCUACAGAUGCUUGUGCACCACGAAGAAAUGCCACCGGACCAGCCCAUUCAUGAAAGAUUGCCUUUUUUUCGUCCUCUCUCUUCUUAAGUGAUCAGGUGCAGGUGUAGAAGAGGAACUGAAGAGGGAAAGGAGUGUCUGAUGAAAAGACAAGUCUUUAAGAACCGGGAGAAUCUCAACACUGGAAUUUAGUUUUCUGUUUCUUAAACAACCUUUUAGUAAGCUUCAUGUUAACAUGUACUAAUUUAUAAAUAUUAAAGACCCGUUGUUACUGAA